GAAGUGUUUCACAUUAUUUUUUCAUAAUAAAAAAGUAUUUUUAAAUACCU
rnacentral:tRNA from 1 species